rnacentral:rRNA from 1 species
UACGUAGGUGGCAAGCGUUGUCCGGAAUUAUUGGGCGUAAAGCGCGCGCAGGCGGUCCCUUAAGUCUGAUGUGAAAGCCCCCGGCUCAACCGUGGAGGGUCAUUGGAAACUGGGGGACUUGAGUGCAGAAGAGGAAAGUGGAAUUCCAUGUGUAGCGGUGAAAUGCGUAGAGAUGUGGAGGAACACCAGUGGCGAAGGCGACUUUCUGGUCUGUAACUGACGCUGAGGCGCGAAAGCGUGGGGAGCAAACAGG